UACGGAGGGUGCAAGCGUUAUCCGGAUUCACUGGGUUUAAAGGGUGCGUAGGCGGGCAGAUAAGUCAGUGGUGAAAUCUCCGAGCUUAACUCGGAAACUGCCGUUGAUACUAUUUGUCUUGAAUACUGUGGAGGUAAGCGGAAUAUGUCAUGUAGCGGUGAAAGGCUUAGAUAUGACAUAGAACACCAAUUGCGAAGGCAGCUUCCUACACAGCGAUUGACGCUGAUGCACGAAAGCGUGGGGAUCAAAAAGG
rnacentral:rRNA from 1 species